UUGCGGUUAAAAAGCUCGUAGUUGGAUCUCGGCAGGUAGGGGGCGGUUCGUUUCUGACGGUACUGCCCCAUUUACCUGUGUUUUUGACGGAGGUCUGAGGGUGCUCUUCACCGAGUGUCCCCAAACGCCGUCAGGUUUACUUUGAAAAAAUUAGAGUGCUCAAAGCAGGCUUCAAGCUUGAAUAUUUGUGCAUGGAAUAAUGGAAUAGGAAGUCGUUUCUAUUUUGUUGGUUUUCGGAAAUUGACUUAAUGAUUAAUAGGGACAGCCGGGGGCAUUAGUAUUCAGACGCUAGAGGUGAAAUUCUUGGACCGUCUGAAGACUAACUACUGCGAAAGCAUUUGCCAAGAGUGUUUUCAUUAAUCAAGAACGAAAGUUAGAGGUUCGAAGGCGAUCAGAUACCGCCCUAGUUCUAACCCAUAAACGAUGCCAGCCUAGCGAUCCGU
rnacentral:rRNA from 1 species